UACGAAGGGGGCUAGCGUUGCUCGGAAUCACUGGGCGUAAAGGGUGCGUAGGCGGGUUUUUAAGUCAGGGGGGAAAUCCUGGAGCUCAACUCCAGAACUGCCUUUGAUACUGAGAAUCUUGAGUAUGGGAGAGGUGAGUGGAACUGCGAGUGUAGAGGUGAAAUUCGUAGAUAUUCGCAAGAACACCAGUGGCGAAGGCGGCUCACUGGCCCAUAACUGACGCUGAGGCACGAAAGCGUGGGGAGCAAACAGG
rnacentral:rRNA from 1 species